rnacentral:rRNA from 1 species
GACGAACGCUGGCGGCGUGCUUAACACAUGCAAGUCGAACGGAAAGGCCCUGCUUUUGUGGGGUGCUCGAGUGGCGAACGGGUGAGUAACACGUGAGUAACCUGCCCUUGUCUUUGGUAUAACUUCAGGAAACUGGGGCUACUACCGUAUAGGAUCUCCUGCUGCAUUGUGGGGGUUGGAAAGUUUCGGCGGUUGGGGAUGGACUCGCGGCUUAUCAGCUUGUUGGUGGGGUAGUGGCUUACCCAGGCUUUGACGGGUAGCCGGCCUGGGAGGGUGACCGGCCACAUUGGGACUGAGAUACGGCCCAGACUCCUACGGGAGGCAGCAGUGGGGAAUAUGGCACAAUGGGCGGAAGCCUGAUGCAGCAACGCCGCGUGCGGGAUGACGGCCUUCGGGUUGUAAACCGCUUUCGCCUGUGACGAAGCGUGAGUGACGGUAAUGGGUAAAGAAGCACCGGCUAACUACGUG